rnacentral:lncRNA from 1 species
CACACACACACACACACAUACACACGCGCGCGCGCACACACAAGAGCGCGCGCGCAGCACGCACACCCUAAGAGCCAAGAAUGUGUUCCGGGAGCCCGGGGCAUUUACUUGGCCCAGGGUUGGAUGUGUCUUCGAAUACAACACAUUCAUGGCAGUGGAAGGGCAGUGCAGGGCGCUUCUAGAGGUGCUAAGUUGCAUUUUAAAUAAGGGGGAGGAGUUCUCUAACAAGGGACUUCCCGAACCGGCCGCUGACUCGCAACUUUCCCUGUAGCUCUCAGACUCCUGUCGUUCUUCCCCACUCCGCGUGUGCAGACGGCUGAUCGCAGUGGUAGAAACGGCCAUCCUGCAACGGCACUUGCUGGAUCACAGGCACGCAGCAAAGCGCUUCGAGGCAGACACUGUGGUAGCCCCUUCAUCAGGGGCAACGAGGGGAGAGACUGGGUCCUCUGGGUGACCUCAUCACCACCAACAGAAAAACAAGGAAACUAGCAGGCGUUGGCUCAUAGAGACAGCAUUACUUUUAUGCCUCGAGACAGCACAUUCAUGGGGCGAUUUCAUCUUGGCAUUGCUGUUUGGUAACCAAACAGUGGCUCUGCCUCUGUGUCGCCUUGGAACUGCUUGGGAAAACAGAAUUCUUUUCUUUGGAAUUCUCUGCUCUUCGUACACACACACACACACACACACACACACACACUCACACACACAUACACACACUCACACACACACACUUUCCCUCCACACAAAAUCAAAUACAUGACUUUAUACUGAGUUAGAAUUUAUUUUUCCUUACAUCAAAUGCCAUAGGUAUGUUAAAUGUUUCAGGAAAGAUAUGGGUGGCUUAGCAGCUUCAAAGGACUGUGUGUAGGGAGAAGGCAUUUUAACCUCCAGGGAAGCAAGACUGUGCCUUAGAACAGUGUGGUUACAGUGGUCACUUAAAACAGCGGAGGCAGCAGAGCCCCUGCAUCCUGAACCUCUGCUGCCCUGGUGCACACUAGCCUGGCUUUCACUCAGGCUUUCUCUAAGCAGUGACACCUGCUUUGCCCAUGAAUGAAGCAAACCUGACAUUCAGGAAAUUCACAUCUAUCAGAGGAACUCCGAACCAAUGACAGACCAUUGGUGUGUAGACUGAAUACCCGUGCUUCCUGAAAUAAAACCCGCAGUGACUUUACUAAAGCACAAUGGUUUAUUAUCUCUCACAGUUCUGUAGGUCAGAAAUUCGGGAAGGCUGGGCUGUUUAGUCUUCAGUUGGGAGCCAGAGGAUUGGAAAGCUUGAGGAGGUGUCCCUCUACCUUCUGGGACUUGGGUGUUCUGUGAGGGGGCCUCUUGCUUCCCACAUGGCAAGGAAGUCUAGAUUCUUCACAAGGUGGCAACUGGCCUCCUCAGAGAGCACAGAUGUGAAGUGUCCAAGAGACUGGUGACCUCUCUUCCACCAUCUUCCUCUGAUCAGAGAACAGCCUGGGGGCCUUGGUCCGGGGAAGGAGGAGGAGACCCCACUUUUUGUGAUGAGAAACAGCUGGCCUGUGCCUCCUGUGGGGAGCAGUGGUGAUCAUCAUAUUUGGGGACCACUUUCCACAGGGUGUCUGUCUCCAUCCAGCUCCCUCAGCUAGGAGCUGGUACCUUUGGGGGUCUGCUGUACCCUGGCUCAGCAGAAGUGGGAGUGAAAACUUGGCUACUUUGUCUUUUCUAUCUUCUGUUCUCUCUCCUUUCACCAUGUUUUUGAAAUCAUUUCCUACAAGAACCUCUUGAACUCAAGACCUUACCUUGGAGUGUGCUUCAGGGUGACUCUCAC